GAUGAACGCUAGCUACAGGCUUAACACAUGCAAGUCGAGGGGCAGCAUUUCAGUUUGCUUGCAAACUGGAGAUGGCGACCGGCGCACGGGUGAGUAACACGUAUCCAACCUGCCGAUAACUCGGGGAUAGCCUUUCGAAAGAAAGAUUAAUACCCGAUGGUAUAAUCAGACCGCAUGGUCUUGUUAUUAAAGAAUUUCGGUUAUCGAUGGGGGUGCGUUCCAUUAGGCAGUUGGUGAGGUAACGGCUCACCAAACCUUCGAUGGAUAGGGGUUCUGAGAGGAAGGUCCCCCACAUUGGAACUGAGACACGGUCCAAACUCCUACGGGAGGCAGCAGUGAGGAAUAUUGGUCAAUGGGCGCAGGCCUGAACCAGCCAAGUAGCGUGAAGGAUGACUGCCCUAUGGGUUGUAAACUUCUUUUAUAUGGGAAUAAAGUUUUCCACGUGUGGAAUUUUGUAUGUACCAUAUGAAUAAGGAUCGGCUAACUCCGUGCCAGCAGCCGCGGUAAUACGGAGGAUCCGAGCGUUAUCCGGAUUUAUUGGGUUUAAAGGGAGCGUAGGUGGACAGUUAAGUCAGUUGUGAAAGUUUGCGGCUCAACCGUAAAAUUGCAGUUGAUACUGGCUGUCUUGAGUACAGUAGAGGUGGGCGGAAUUCGUGGUGUAGCGGUGAAAUGCUUAGAAAUCACGAAGAACUCCGAUUGCGAAGGCAGCUCACUGGACUGCAACUGACACUGAUGCUCGAAAGUGUGGGUAUCAAACAGGAUUAGAUACCCUGGUAGUCCACACAGUAAACGAUGAAUACUCGCUGUUUGCGAUAUACAGUAAGCGGCCAAGCGAAAGCAUUAAGUAUUCCGCCUGGGGAGUACGCCGGCAACGGUGAAACUCAAAGGAAUUGACGGGGGCCCGCACAAGCGGAGGAACAUGUGGUUUAAUUCGAUGAUACGCGAGGAACCUUACCCGGGCUUAAAUUGCAUUUGAAUAUAUUGGAAACAGUAUAGCCGUAAGGCAAAUGUGAAGGUGCUGCAUGGUUGUCGUCAGCUCGUGCCGUGAGGUGUCGGCUUAAGUGCCAUAACGAGCGCAACCCUUAUCUUUAGUUACUAACAGGUCAUGCUGAGGACUCUAGAGAGACUGCCGUCGUAAGAUGUGAGGAAGGUGGGGAUGACGUCAAAUCAGCACGGCCCUUACGUCCGGGGCUACACACGUGUUACAAUGGGGGGUACAGAAGGCAGCUACCUGGUGACAGGAUGCUAAUCCCAAAAGCCUCUCUCAGUUCGGAUCGAAGUCUGCAACCCGACUUCGUGAAGCUGGAUUCGCUAGUAAUCGCGCAUCAGCCAUGGCGCGGUGAAUACGUUCCCGGGCCU
rnacentral:rRNA from 1 species